UACGGGGGGGGCAAGCGUUGUUCGGAAUUACUGGGCGUAAAGCGUGCGUAGACGGCUAUCUAAGUCGGGUGUGAAAGCCCCGGGCUCAACCUGGGAAUUGCAUUCGAGACUGAAUAGCUAGGGUGCGGUAGAGGGAAGCGGAAUUUCCGGUGUAGCGGUGAAAUGCGUAGAUAUCGGAAGGAACAUCAGUGGCGAAAGCGGCUUCCUGGACCAGCACCGACGUCAGGCACGAAAGCGUGGGGAGCAAACAGG
rnacentral:rRNA from 1 species